GACAACGUGGCCGAGCGGUUAAGGCGAUUGACUAGAAAUCAAUUGGAGUUUCUCCGCGUAGGUUCAAAUCCUGCCGUUCCUGCUUCCA
rnacentral:tRNA from 1 species